rnacentral:rRNA from 1 species
GAUGAACGCUGGCGGCGUGCCUAAUACAUGCAAGUCGAGCGAACGGACGAGAAGCUUGCUUCUCUGAUGUUAGCGGCGGACGGGUGAGUAGCACGUGGAUAACCUACCUAUAAGACUGGGAUAACUUCGGGAAACCGGAGCUAAUACCGGAUGAUAUUUUGAACCGCAUGGUUCAAAAGUGAAAGACGGUCUUGCUGUCACUUAUAGAUGGAUCCGCGCUGCAUUAGCUAGUUGGUAAGGUAAUGGCUUACCAAGGCAACGAUGCAUAGCCGACCUGAGAGGGUGAUCGGCCACACUGGAACUGAGACACGGUCCAGACUCCUACGGGAGGCAGCAGUAGGGAAUCUUCCGCAAUGGGCGUAAGCCUGACGGAGCAACGCCGCGUGAGUGAUGAAGGUCUUCGGAUCGUAAAACUCUGUUAUUAGGGAAGAACAUAUGUGUAAGUAACUGUGCACAUCUUGACGGUACCUAAUCAGAAAGCCACGGCUAACUACGUG